CCCUUAGAUGUUCUGGGCCGCACGCGCGCUACACUGUUCGACGCAGCGAGUCUUAACCUUGACCGAAAGGUUUGGGUAAUCUUCAGCAAAGUCGAACGUGAUGGGGAUCGAUCACUGCAAUUAUUGAUCGUGAACGAGGAAUUCCUAGUAAGUGCAAGUCAUCAGCUUGCGCUGAUUACGUCCCUGCCCUUUGUACACACCGCCCGUCGCUACUACCGAUUGUAUGGUUUAGUGAGAUCUCUGGAUUGACGCUGGCUAGGGGGCGACCCUUGGCCAGGCUGUCGAGAAACUGCUCAAACUUGAUCAUUUAGAGGAAGUAAAAGUCGUAACA
rnacentral:rRNA from 1 species